AGUGAACGCUGGCGGUAGGCCUAACACAUGCGAGUCGAACGGCAGCACAGUAAGAGCUUGCUCUUACGGGUGGCGAGUGGCGGACGGGUGAGGAAUACAUCGGAAUCUACUUUUUCGUGGGGGAUAACGUAGGGAAACUUACGCUAAUACCGCAUACGACCUACGGGUGAAAGCAGGGGAUCUUCGGACCUUGCGCGAUUGAAUGAGCCGAUGUCGGAUUAGCUAGUUGGCGGGGUAAAGGCCCACCAAGGCGACGAUCCGUAGCUGGUCUGAGAGGAGGAUCAGCCACACUGGAACUGAGACACGGUCCAGACUCCUACGGGAGGCAGCAGUGGGGAAUAUUGGACAAUGGGCGCAAGCCUGAUCCAGCCAUACCGCGUGGGUGAAGAAGGCCUUCGGGUUGUAAAGCCCUUUUGUUGGGAAAGAAAAGCAGCAGGUUAAUACCCCGCUGUUCUGACGGUACCCAAAGAAUAAGCACCGGCUAACUUCGUG
rnacentral:rRNA from 1 species